AGAGUUUGAUCCUGGCUCAGGACGAACGCUGGCGGCGUGCUUAACACAUGCAAGUCGAACGAUGAAGCGGUGCUUGCACCGUGGAUUAGUGGCGAACGGGUGAGUAACACGUGAGUAACCUGCCCUUCACUCUGGGAUAACUCCGGGAAACCGGUGCUAAUACUGGAUACGACCUCAACCUGCAUGGGUAUGGGGUGGAAAGCUUUUGUGGUGGAGGAUGGACUCGCGGCCUAUCAGCUUGUUGGUGGGGUAAUGGCCCACCAAGGCGACGACGGGUAGCCGGCCUGAGAGGGUGACCGGCCACACUGGGACUGAGACACGGCCCAGACUCCUACGGGAGGCAGCAGUGGGGAAUAUUGCACAAUGGGCGAAAGCCUGAUGCAGCGACGCCGCGCGAGGGAUGACGGCCUUCGGGUUGUAAACCUCUUUCAGCUCUGACGAAGCUUUAUUGUGACGGUAGGAGCAGAAGAAGCACCGGCUAACUACGUG
rnacentral:rRNA from 1 species